GAGAUCCGUGCCCUGCAGUAGGCGGAGGUGUCCUGGCCCAAUGCCCUGAGCUGGCUCCACUGCAG
rnacentral:miRNA from 1 species